rnacentral:rRNA from 1 species
UAAUACAGAGGUCUCAAGCGUUGUUCGGAUUCAUUGGGCGUAAAGGGUGCGUAGGCGGCGCGGUAAGUCGGGUGUGAAAUCUCGGAGCUUAACUCCGAAACUGCAUUCGAUACUGCCGUGCUUGAGGACUGGAGAGGAGACUGGAAUUUACGGUGUAGCGGUGAAAUGCGUAGAUAUCGUAAGGAAGACCAGUGGCGAAGGCGGGUCUCUGGACAGUUCCUGACGCUGAGGCACGAAGGCCAGGGGAGCAAACGGGAUUAGAUACCCCGGUAGUCCUGGCAGUAAACGGUGCACGUUUGGUGUGGGAGGAUUCGACCCCUUCUGCGCCGGAGCUAACGCGUUAAACGUGCCGCCUGGGGAGUACGGUCGCAAGAUUA